rnacentral:rRNA from 1 species
AUGGCUUCACGAAACACGGCUUUAUUCCUCGUCGGGUUGCUCCUCUCCUGCGUCGCCAUGAGCAACGAAGCAAGAAUCCUCGAGGAGGACACAACUCCUUCCAAAAGCGAGGAGCACCUGCCGGAGCUGCCAGAUUUCCAACAGCCAGCUCUGCCCAAGGUCGAGCUGCCGCCGUUCCCGGAGGUGCAUCUGCCACAUAAGCCUGAGCUACCCAAGGUAGAGCUGCCGCCAUUCCCUGAGGUGCACCUGCCACCCAAGCCCGAACUGCCACCAAAGCCAGAUAUGCCCACCAUCCUGGAGUUCCACUUCCCGGAGCCAGAGGCUAGAGAUAUUUUACGAUGCAUCAUACUACCCAAUAUAACUGGUAGUAUUAAACUGAUCCAACGGUUUGAUAAUGGACGCCGAUAA